rnacentral:lncRNA from 1 species
AUCCAAACCUAUUAGUAGUCUGCAUUUUCAUAGGAUUAGGAUCAUGUAUUCUGCUACUGUGAUCUCCAUGUUUAGUUGUUUCUCCAGAUAUGGCUUUGACCUUUGUCCCUUUACUGGUCUACACUAUCCCACCAUGUUUAUCAUGAGAGGCUCCUUCUUAAGGUAGGCAGACAUGUUGUUGUGCUUCAAUCUGUCUAGUCCCUGAAUCAACUCCCAAUUGUACUUCCUGCUCUAUGCUUGGUAUAUUUGCUUGCCAGGCUGAACCAUUAGCUUUAGGCUUCUUCGUAUUCCUUCUCCUUCUCUUCUUUGCCCACUUCCUGAAAGGCUCUUCCUUAUUAUAUGAUAUAUUCCUUCUGCAUGUAGUUUAGUCAUGCCCGAAUUUUAUGUAGUGUACAAAAAACAUUGGUUUUCAAUCAUAUGCCACCUGCUGUUAAAAUACAUCAAAGGUUGUAUCAAUCUCAGUAGACUCUGGUAGGGUUUAAGACAUAUCUGCUUCAACCAAUGCUCGAGCUAUGAGAUCUUCUUCAACUAUGCAGUAAACGUGUUUGUAUACAAUGGUUUGCCUUCCCCACUAGCCAAUGUGCUUAGUGCUUCAGGGGACCAAUAUCCCACUGGCAAGCCUAGGAAUUUCACCCACAGAGGGAUGGUACUUAGGCAUUCCGGAUCAAAGUAGAAUUAUAUUUCUCAAUUCUUCAAUAUGAAAGGCUUAUUAUGAUAUGCAUAUGGGCCAGCAUUCAUAAACAAAUCUCUAUCUUCUACUGUAAGGAAUUUAAAAAUAUAGUAUCCUUCAUCAUGGUACAGUAUCUUAGGUUUCAUAACAAACUUUCAUGCUGUAGCAACAUAAUUGUCAAUUGAUCGAGCAAAUGGAGUAUCACCAAGCAAAUAUCCAAUAAGGGUCGAGCCCCAGAAUUCCUCCUGGUAUUUGAUGUCUUCUGCAACAAUUUUAAUCACCAAUUUACCAUCCCUCAUCAAAGAAGGAACGUUUGUAAGAGGUUUCCUCACCAGACCAUCAUUCUUCUCAAUUGUGUCCCUCGCCUCCAUAGGUGUUGGAUGUGUAGCAGCAGGGGCGGAUUUACGUAGAGACUUUGGGGUGGUACGGCACCCGGACACUCGGGUAAAACUCUAUAUAUGUAUUAGUAUUUUACUGAAAAAUAUGAUAUAGUGUUUGAGUGGCACCCAAAGGUAACAAAAUGUAAGUGGGUGCCAUGGUCGAGUUGCCAAAUUUUCACAUGCAAAACCCGGGUUGAAUCUCACCUAGUUCCAAGCUGCUAGUGUUUAUUUCUCCUGUGGUGCAAGUUGCUUUUCUUUAUAAUCUUCUAUUUUCUUCAUUUUUGUAGUUGCACUUCUUUUUAAUUCCUUCUAUUUUUUUCCUUUUUGUAGUUGCACUUCUUUUUAGUUCCUUCUAUUUUCUUCCUUUUUGUAUUUCCACUCUCUUUGUACAACCUUAUUAUUAUUAUUAUUAUUAUUUAUUUAGAAUUAUAUAAUUCUUUCCUUUUUCUCAUUCUGGAUCUUCAUAUUUUAUUUGAAUAUAAUUUUACUUAUUUUUUAAUCAUGUAAUGUUGUAUUUUUCUAGAUUUCUUUUACGGUGAUAACAUCAAUUUUUCUUUAUUUUUGUAGUUACUCCUCUUUUUAAUUCCUUCUAUUUUCCUCAUUUUUGUAUUUCCAUUCUCUUUGUACAACCUCAUUAUUAUUUAUUUAGAAUUAUAUAAUUAUUUUCUUUUUUUCAUUCUAGAUCUUCAUAUUUUAUUUGAAUA